GUUUUUGGGGCGUGUGCCUGUAGUCCCAGCUACUAGGGAGGCUGAGGCUGGAGGAUCGCUUGAGUCCAGGAGUUCUGGGCUGUAGUGUGCUAUGCCGAUCGGGUGUCCGCACUAAGUUCGGCAUCAAUAUGGUGAUGGUGACCUCCCGGGAGCGGGGGACCACCAGGUUGCCUAAGGAGGGGUGAACCGGCCCAGGUCGGAAACGGAGCAGGUCAAAACUCCCGUGCUGAUCAGAUCUUUCUAAAAAUCUAACCAAAACUUGCUAUUUUUAGUUUUUCAAAUAUUUAUCGAUAUGU
rfam:Macaca fascicularis chromosome 2, whole genome shotgun sequence.